rnacentral:rRNA from 1 species
UACGAAGGGGGCUAGCGUUGCUCGGAAUCACUGGGCGUAAAGCGCACGUAGGCGGACUCUUAAGUCGGUGGUGAAAUCCUGGAGCUCAACUCCAGAACUGCCUCCGAUACUGCGAGUCUCCGAGUCCGGGAGAGGUGAGUGGAACUGCGAGUGUAGAGGUGAAAUUCGUAGAUAUUCGCAAGAACACCAGUGGCGAAGGCGACUCACUGGCCCGAUACUGACGCUGAGGCGCGAAAGCGUGGGGAGCAAACAGG